UACAGAGGGGGCAAGCGUUGUUCGGAAUUACUGGGCGUAAAGGGCGCGUAGGCGGCCACCUAAGUCAGACGUGAAAUCCCCGGGCUCAACCUGGGAACUGCAUUUGUGACUGCACGGCUGGAGUGCGGCAGAGGGGGAUGGAAUUCCGCGUGUAGCAGUGAAAUGCGUAGAUAUGCGGAGGAACACCGAUGGCGAAGGCAAUCCCCUGGGCCUGCACUGACGCUCAUGCACGAAAGCGUGGGGAGCAAACAGG
rnacentral:rRNA from 1 species